rnacentral:rRNA from 1 species
CCCGGAUAGAGGGGGGACAACUACUGGAAACGGUGGCUAACACCGCAUAAUGUCUACGGACCAGAGCAGGGGCUCUUCGGACCUUGCACUAUCGGAUGAACCCAUAUGGGAUUAGCUAGUAGGUGGGGUAAAGGCUCACCUAGGCGACGAUCUCUAGCUGGUCUGAGAGGAUGAUCAGCCACACUGGGACUGAGACACGGUCCAGACUCCUACGGGGGGUAGCAGUGGGGGAUAUUGCACAAUGGGCACAAGUAUGUGGCGGCCAUGCGGGAUGUGGAUAGAAGUCCUUGGGGUGUAAAGACUAUCAGCGGAAGGGAAGGUGAUAAGGUCAAUACCGUUGCAGUUGACGUUUUCCGAAGGAGAUCACCUGUUAAUUACGGGCUAGCUGCAGGGGAAUUACGGGGGG